AAUCGACUGAUUCCGAUCGAUCCGGAUCGUAAAUCGGAUAGGAAUCAUUAAAAUCCGAUUCCGGCACUGAUUCCAAUUUUAGCCCGGUCCGAGUUUUCAACCCAACUUCCGGGGGCCCAGGCAGGCCAUCACCGUUUUUGGUCGCGUUCUCACACUAGGGUUUAAUAUAAAACCACUGAGAAGCGCCAAACUUCUCUUUUACCUUUUGCAGCUGCCUCUACGGAUCGACAAGAGUUCUGAAGGAAAGCAGCGGAAGGGUUUGCUAACACAGUCACCAUGAGAGCUAAGUGGAAGAAGAAGCGCAUGAGGAGGUUGAAGAGAAAGCGCCGAAAGAUGAGACAGCGAUCGAAGUAGAACUCAAGGUCUGCUCAUGGCAGUUUAACUCUCCGGAGUCCUUUUGUUUCAUUUUUUGUUUUUUUAAUCUUUUUGUCUGUUUUCAGCCCCUUCUUCUUUAACCGGGUUGGAAUGGAUAGAAACCGUGGCUAGUGUAUUUGGUUUUUAGCACUUUAAUGCGUUUGGUGGAUUAGUAUUUUCUUCUGCUUAUAACUCUGUUAGGUAAGAAUAUGGAUUUAUCAUAAUUGUGCUCCAACUUUCACUAGUACAUGCUAAUGGUGAUGUUUACGAUUGCACAAGAUGAAUGCAAGUGAUUUGCUUAUCAGCA